rnacentral:rRNA from 1 species
GGAUUAGAAACCCGGGUAGUCCAUGCCGUAAACGUUGGGCACUAGGUGUGGGGAACAUUCCACGUUUUCCGCGCCGUAGCUAACGCAUUAAGUGCCCCGCCUGGGGAGUACGGCCGCAAGGCUAAAACUCAAAGAAAUUGACGGGGGCCCGCACAAGCGGCGGAGCAUGCGGAUUAAUUCGAUGCAACGCGAAGAGCCUUACCAAGGCUUGACAUAUACUAGACCGCCUCAGAGAUGGGGUUUCCCUUCGGGGCUGGUAUACAGGUGGUGCAUGGUUGUCGUCAGCUCGUGUCGUGAGAUGUUGGGUUAAGUCCCGCAACGAGCGCAACCCUCGUUCUAUGUUGCCAGCACGUAAUGGUGGGGACUCAUAGGAGACUGCCGGGG